AACAGAAGCUAAAACCUUCUUGCUGACCGAGGAGUGUGCUGCACACAA
rnacentral:tRNA from 1 species